rnacentral:lncRNA from 1 species
AUUUCUUUCCGUAUUUAAUGCAAAAUUUGCAUAACAGUCGUAUGAAAACGUGUUAUAUUAAUGAUUUACAGCUGUUUAUAUACCGGUAUUCAAAUAGGAUGCGUGAUAUACAGAUAAAUUUUACUUGUUUCGAAAUACUUGCACUACGCUAGUACGAUUUUAAAAAAAGUUUUGCUUUGAUCAUGUAUCAUUUCAUUACGGGAAGUUAGCUACGACGGAUAUAAGAACGGAAACGUGUAUUCGCCUUCAUUUAUUUCCUACGACACUAUCUGAUUAUAUCGAUGGCGGAUUGCAUCACAAUCAGCUUGUCUGAAAUAUGACAACCCGACUCUUUCAAUAAUUGAACACGGAUAUUAUAGGAGAGGACGAAAUUGAUAACAAAAUACGUUCUCCGGGAUCUCGUAUAUCAGGAUGAUAUAUCGUGAUUAGAAAAAGGAAGGAUUGACUUGACAUUCUUAGAUGUAGUGCUGUAGCUAUUUCUGCUAAAUCUACGUACCUGUCGUAUGGAAAAUCUGUUAUGAUCCAUGAUGAAACUAAGUGAUUUACGGCUGCUGAUAAGUAAGAUUUAAAUCCGACUUUACUUUCAAAACAAAAGCGUUGGGAUUGGAUGGUCAUAUUUGGACUGAAUGUUAAUGUGGAAAUAUGCGAGGCAUGCGUAUCUGACGGAGCUUUCCAAUAUUCUAUUUGCUCUGUGUAAAUCAACAUUACCACGUAAAACAGGAUGUUUGGAGGGAUCUCGGUGUGAGUACAAAUACAAACAGAACUAAUUUACAUCAGGGAGUGCUUCAUUUUUUCACUUACCAUGGGAAAGACUGAACAAACUUUGCAGAGAAUUGGAAAUAUUUCAGAAAACAUCACUACAUCUUCUUACUUCCGCGACGGCAAACUCGAUUACUUCAACGUAACAGAAUAUUCCUUCAAUAUUACCAAGAAAGUCAUAUUAAAUGAAACGCUUGGUGAAUUGAACUUCCGGUAUGCGCAAACCCUACUUCCGUUUGCGCUUAUUUUGGGAUUGUUUUGUUUUAUUGGCAUCGUUGGUAAUUCUGUUGUGAUUGUAGUGUUUUCAUUUUGUAAGGAAUAUAGAAACACUAAUUUCAAGGUAUUCGUUCUCAGUUUAGCGGUGGUAGAUCUAUUGUCUUGUGUUACUCUAAUGCCGGCGGAAAUACUUAAAACUCGACAUUAUUUCUCAAUUUCGGACCACACUCCAUGUAAAGUUAAAUGCUUCUUUAACAUGUUUGCUAUGAAUGCUUCUGCAUGCAUUCUUCUCGUCAUUUGUAUUGACAGAUACAGGAAAGUUUGCCAGCCUUUAAAAAAGCAAAUAUGGCCAAAACUUGCAAUCAAAAUAUUAAUAGGGAUCUUCAUACUGUCACUCGUUCUCUCUUCGCCUGCACCAAUCAUGUGUGGCGUUACAGAACAUUUGAAGGUCAACCUUUAUAACGCAAAUGUUACCGUAUUUGUGUGCGCAGCUGAGAAAAAGUACCACGGGAGUACAUUCAGGUACAUUUACAAAUUCGGAUUGUCAACGGUUUUGGUAAUUAUAGCAGUAGGCGCUAAUAGUGAUGUAUGUAAUGAUAAUGAAGACUGUUGUAAGACAUUGGAGUAAAAGAGGGUCUGGUGAGAGUGUUCGGUUCGAGACUAAUCGAUCUCGUCUACAGUCAAUUGACAAACUCGAUGUAGCAGGUAAUGAAGGUUUUCUUAAUGUGAAAGUGGAAGCUCACGUAAACGCUCUUCUUAAAGUGUCUUUAAAUGGUCCUAACAAAAAUAACAAAAGGGACGAUGAAGCAAAGCGGUUGAGGAGUUCUAGUAGAUCCUCGUUAAAUUCAUAUUUGACUAGAGGACGAUUUACUUUGAAACGAAGUAGCAGUGACACUUCGUUCUGCACGAGUGUCACGCAACGACACUCAUCGUCUGCCGCAAUGGGACGACUUCCUUAUAAGACUCUGAUCUGGUUCAUCCUGACGCUUGUAUUUGUGAUCACAUUCAUCAUAUACGCAGGAUUGUCGUUUAUGACCACAAGGGAGCAUGAACUGUCCCAGACCAAUCUUUUUUGGUUUCAAGUGUUUUUUCGGAUAUAUUUCAUUAACAAUAUCAUUAAUCCUAUCAUUUAUGUUUGGCUAGACAAACGAUUCAAAAAGUCCUGUAAAAAUGUCAUAACAACCUUAAAAAGAAAAUUAUGUCGGGAAUAGCUGACAUCAACGUAUAAGGUAAAUUAGAAAACCGUUGAAACAGGCAACGAGGAAAAUCGUCACCCUGUUUUUAUACUUCUUUAAAGAAAGAAACAAUACACUAUAUUCUCUAACAACUUGAUCAACUUGCCUGGUGUAUUAGAUAUCGGUCGCUUUAUCAGGGGUCUCUAGUUCACACCUCGCAGGGACCAUGAUCGUAUCUGCUGACACAAGAGUUAUUCUGUCGAAUUUAUGUUUUCUUCGAAGAGGAGCUGCAUUUUAUGCAAUAUUAUGUCAGUAAAUGGUAAAACUUGAUUAAAAUGUUGCUAACUGCUGGAGUCAUUAAAAGCUUCCAACUUUUCAAAAAAUAUACCUAGACAGAAGUGUGUUGAAACAUCUAGUUGUUCUCGUGUCAGAUCUUCAUUCAGAAAUAUUAUUGACAAACGCUUUGUGAAAAUACAUUUUGUGCUCAAUUAACCCUUGAAAUUGUUGAAAUAUUGAGGCAGAGAGCACGUUUACAAAUCUAUUAUUUUUUUGCAGGAAAACCACUCUGAUUCAGAUGUUUAGAAAACGUAACAAUCGAAACAAUACUGGCCACUUUGAUUGUAUUUGUUUUCCAAACAAUUAAGAUCAAAUGAUAAAGGCGUAUGAAAUGAUGA